rnacentral:rRNA from 1 species
AAGGUCCGGGCGUUAUCCGGAUUUAUUGGUUUUAAAGGGAGCGUAGGCCGGAGAUUAAGCGUGUUGUGAAAUGUAGACGCUCAACGUCUGCACUGCAGCGCGAACUGGUUUCCUUGAGUACGCACAAAGUGGGCGGAAUUCGUGGUGUAGCGGUGAAAUGCUUAGAUAUCACGAAGAACUCCGAUUGCGAAGGCAGCUCACUGGAGCGCAACUGACGCUGAAGCUCGAAAGUGCGGGUAUCGAACAGGAUUAGAUACCCUGGUAGUCCGCACGGUAAACGAUGGAUGCCCGCUGUUGGUCUGAACAGGUCAGCGGCCAAGCGAAAGCAUUAAGCAUCCCACCUGGGGAGUACGCCGGCAACGGUGAAACUCAAAGGAAUUGACGGGGGCCCGCACAAGCGGAGGAACAUGUGGUUUAAUUCGAUGAUACGCGAGGAACCUUACCCGGGCUUGAAUUGCAGAGGAAGGAUUUGGAGACAAUGACGCCCUUCGGGGCCUCUGUGAAGGUGCUGCAUGGUUGUCGUCAGCUCGUGCCGUGAGGUGUCGGCUUAAGUGCCAUAACGAGCGCAACCCCUCUCCUUAGUUGCCAUCAGGUUAAGCUGGGCACUCUGGGGACACUGCCACCGUAAGGUGUGAGGAAGGUGGGGAUGACGUCAAAUCAGCACGGCCCUUACGUCCGGGGCUACACACGUGUUACAAUGGCAGGUACAGAGAGACGGUCCCUUGCAAAAUGGAUCAAAUCCUUAAAGCCUGUCUCAGUUCGGACUGGGGUCUGCAACCCGACCCCACGAAGCUGGAUUCGCUAGUAAUCGCGCAUCAGCCAUGGCGCGGUGAAUACGUUCCCGGGCUUUGUACACACCGCCCGU